UACGGAGGGAGCUAGCGUUGUUCGGAAUUACUGGGCGUAAAGCGCACGUAGGCGGCUUUGUAAGUUAGAGGUGAAAGCCCGGGGCUCAACUCCGGAAUUGCCUUUAAGACUGCAUCGCUUGAAUCCGGGAGAGGUGAGUGGAAUUCCGAGUGUAGAGGUGAAAUUCGUAGAUAUUCGGAAGAACACCAGUGGCGAAGGCGGCUCACUGGACCGGUAUUGACGCUGAGGCGCGAAGGCUAGGGGAGCAAACGGG
rnacentral:rRNA from 1 species